rnacentral:lncRNA from 1 species
AAUUUAUGUGUAUCUAAUUGGAAUAAAAUCUUACUCUAGAACAGAAAUAGUUUCAACAUCCUACAUGUAUCUUUCAUUAGCUGACUGUAAAUGACACAUUUGCCCAAGAAUAUCAAAAAUUCAAAUCUAAACAGGAAGUUCUGUGAGAGCAUGAUGGAGUUAUUUCACUACAAAGAAGUUUAUUUAUAUAGCUCUUUGUUUACUAUGUGCAGUUUAUAUUUAACAUGGAAGUUUAAGAGUGAUGAAAAUAAUACAAAUGGUAUAGCACCAUAUGUCAUGUAUGUAUAUAGGUAUGGCACACAUGAAUGAAUUGGGACCUUAUCAACGUAUUGUGUUCAAAGAAGACCUAACGAAUCCAGCAGUUCAAAAACAUGUUUUGCAGUGAGACGAAUGGUGACAAUGGCUUUGUGGCAGUUAGUGAAAAACUGUGGCAUUUUACAGUGAUGAUGGCUACCAUUUACAGAAAAUUUCUCAACCAAUAGUGACAUUCAAUUGAAAGUAAUAGCAUAUCUUACACCGACUAUACAUCAGAAUGUUGUUGAAAAAAGCCAUGGCAAAAAGUGGAAAAUACUGAUCAAUAUACUUCAAUGACUUUGGAACUGAGUAGAAAAUGGUGACAUUUUAGCACCAUAUUGUGUGUAUACUUUUUCUUGC